CCAGUAUUGGUAUCAGUAUACUCAUUAUCAACAUUUAAACUCGAUCCUCAACAAAUCUGAAUAUUUUUAGUUUACAUUAGUGAAGGAAACAAUCAUGAACAUUGGAUAUUAAUUUUAACCAACUCAAGAACUGUUUAAAUAAUGAAAUGUUGGGCAUUAAUUCUGGUAUCUACUACUCUAUUGACCGUUUGCCUUUUUGACUGAAUUGUAUUGGAAGCCUAUGUAAUCAUGUAAAUGUAGUGACAAUUAUCACAUAGGAGUUACUAUUAAAAUGGUUCAAUCAAAGAGUGAUGAUGAGGACAAGAAGACUGGAAGAAAAAAGCAAACGAAAAGAAGGCGAAGAAAGAAGAAGAAUAAGAAUCGAUUUGAUAUAUUAUUGUUGUAUAAAAGUGAAUACAAUGAUAUCACUUGAAAAGGAUAUUGCUUAUUCUUUAUGUUUAACGUUCUGUGACAAUUCAAAUGCGACACUUUUCAAAUGUAACACUCAACCAGUGUUACUUUUAAAGUGGUAUUAAUACUUUGGCACUCGCAAUUUUUUGUUACUCACAAGUUAAAAAGGUCUAACCAUAUUUUUCACAUUGUAAUAAAUAUAACUUUGGUUCCCACUUGACCUGAUAACAAUGGAUUAUGUCGAAGGAUAAAGUUAACUUUACAAAAGUUACAUUGAAAAAGACGCUUCUUCUACCCUCUUUAUCCUCUUCACCUUCCUCUCUCCCUCCUUUUUUCAUCCUCUUCCCUCCUUCAUCAUCACCAUCAUCAUUACCAGCGAAACAGUGGAUUAAAGUCUAUUACAUCAAAUUGUUUGUUCAACAUCUAAAAACUCUCCAACCAUCUUAAAGUCCCAAUCUUCAAAACAAAUACAUUUUUUAUACAAUGUAUAACACUUCAACAAUCCCGAGUUAAGUCAAGUUUAAUUGUUCGCACACUUCAUUGUGCCAUCAAUUUUUGGAUUAAAACAUUAGAUUUAAACGUUUAA